rnacentral:rRNA from 2 species
CAACGACUCUCGACAACGGAUAUCUCGGCUCUCGCAUCGAUGAAGAACGUAGCGAAAUGCGAUACUUGGUGUGAAUUGCAGAAUCCCGUGAACCAUCGAGUCUUUGAACGCAAGUUGCGCCCGAAUCCACUAGGCUGAGGGCACGUCUGCCUGGGUGUCA